AUUUUUUGGGGAUAUUUCGGUGAGUUUUGGGUCAUUUUUUGGGGAGAUUUUGGUAAGUUUGUGGUCAUUUUUUGGGGCGAUUUCUGUGAGUUUCUGGUCAUACUUUGAGGAGAUUUGUGUGAUUUACUGGUCAUUUUUUGGGGGAGAUUUUGGUGAGUUUCUGGUGAUUUUUGGAGGAUAUUUGGGUGGGUUUCGGGUCAUUUUUUGGGGAGAAUUUGGUGAGUUUCUGGUCAUAUUUUGGGGAGAUUUGUGUGAGUGUGUGUUCAGUUUUUAGGGAGAUUUGUGUGACAUUUGGGUAAUUUUUUGGGGUGAUUUGUUUGAGUUUGUGGUCAUUUGUUGGGGAGACUUGGGUGAGUUUCUUGAAAUUUUUUGGGGAGAUUUCUGUGAGUUUCUAGUCAUAUUUUGGGGAGAUUUGUGUGAGUGUGUGGUCAUUUUUUGGGGAGAUUUGGGUGAGUUUCGGGUCAUUUUUUGGGGAGAUUUGUGUGAUUUCUGGUCAUUUUUUAGGGUGAUUUGGGUGAAUUUCGGAUCAUUUUUUGGGGAGAUUUGAGUUAGUUUUGGGUCAUUUUUUGGGGACAUUUGUGUGAUUUUGGGUGAAUUUCUGGUCAUUGUUUGGGGAGAGUUGAGUUAGUUUUGGGUCAUUUUUUUGGGAGAUUUGGGUUAGUUUCUAGUCAUUUUUUGGGGAGAUUUGGGUGAGUUUCUGGUCAUUUUU